GUUGACAUGUCAUCACUUCAUUUUUUUGCGCCUGCUCAUCAAUCUGAAAAACAAACCACAUUUGUUCCGGACCUGGAAUGCCUUCCGGACCUGGGAUCCUGCCUUCUGAUGGAGAUAAUCAAAGGGCUCUUUAUACUGUGCUCCUGUUUGGUGGCUUUACCAGCAACAUCCGAGAGGACUAUUACUAAGGUACAGCUGCUGACUGGGAGAAGGGAAGACACCAUAAAUGUACCUCAUACGGUAUGUAUAGCUGUGUUGUUGGGAUGUGCCCAUUCACCAGGCUACAUACAUGAAGGCUAUUCACAGCCACGUCAGCCGUGAUACAAGUCAGUAUUCAACGAACCAUCCGUGCCUGAGGACGUCGGGAGAUGACGCGAGGAUACCUGCCACUAGGGGCAACAGUGAGCGGUUUUGCUAGGGUGUUGUGGACGGGGACGGCGGAUUGGCGUAAGCGCCUGUCUCUGAUUCCAAAAGUUGUAAGUUCAGUUGUUUUUGAGAUUUUUGUUUUUAAGCCUAUCCCAAAUCUUAACCCUUGUCUUAACCAUUCUGAGUUAAUGUCUAACCUUCCGAUUUCGGGGUUAAUGCCUAAACGUAGCCUGAAACACUUUGAAAUUUGAUGUUUGAGACACAUGGAUGAACAUCUAGUUCUGACGUGAGAAUGUGAGAGCUGGUUGGCUAUUCACUAGGUUAAAUACUGUACAUGAAAGCCACUGUUUCUGAUUGUUGCUUUUCAUCUUCUAAUUGGUUGGACUAGAAUGAAUUACCAUGCAGGUGAUGUAAGACCUAUGGACUUCUAGAAAAGGGAAGAGAAAUUGGAGUGUACAGUAUGUUGUUUGGAGGAUUAAGAUGGGAAGUGGGUCACCUUGUAAAAAAUACAUUGCACACUGGUCUUUAGAACUGUACAAAAGACAGGAAAGAAUUUGAAAGUACUGUUAAGAUUUCGUUAACCUUUGUUUUUAUCCAUAGAAUGUCAUACAGAGUUUUAUAACCACUUCUGAGUUAUUAUGGAUGCUUACAGUUGGUGUCAUGACACAUUAUACAGUGUGUUACAAAGCAUUAUAGGCAUGUACUUCAUAGAAAGUGUUACCAAGAUUUCCAACUCUACUCUAAAAUGUACUCAAUAUGGGGCCCAAGUGAUUCGUGUUCAGAAUACUUCUUCCCCAAUUACUUUCACAAAAUUUGACGUGAUUAGGUAUUUCUGAGAAAACUACGAAAUUACCGGUGAUUGUAAGUUAGUCCCCAAGUCAUCGACAGAUCCAUGAUAAAUUCCCAUUGGUCAAUACACGUCUUCCAAUUUAACAUCUUUGUUUUAUUAAAGGUGUUAAAUCAUUUUUGUCAGCACCCCCAAAUGAACCCAAGAGAUAGUUCUAUUUAAUUAGGUGAUUUACAGGGAAUCAUUUGUUAGAUAAUUUUCAACAUGGAUCUAAUUUUAAACUUUACUGCAGAGGAGUCAAAUCAGAGUAAUAAAUAUGCGAAUAAAAUAAUUCCAUGUCUCUUGC
rnacentral:lncRNA from 1 species